rnacentral:rRNA from 1 species
GUAGGUGGCAAGCGUUGUCCGGAAUUAUUGGGCGUAAAGCGCGCGCAGGCGGUUCUUUAAGUCUGAUGUGAAAGCCCACGGGCUCAACCGUGGAGGGUCAUUGGAAACUGGAGAACUUGAGUACAGAAGAGGAAAGCGGAAUUCCACGUGUAGCGGUGAAAUGCGUAGAGAUGUGGAGGAACACCAGUGGCGAAGGCGGCUUUCUGGUCUGUAACUGACGCUGAGGCGCGAAAGCGUGGGGAGCAAACAGGAUUAGACUACCCCGGUAGUCCACGCCGUAAACGAUGAGUGCUAAGUGUUAGGGGGUUUCCGCCCCUUAGUGCUGCAGCUAACGCAUUGAGCACUCCGCCUGGGGAGUACGGCCGCAAAGGCUG